rnacentral:rRNA from 1 species
GCAAGUCGGACGGCAGCAGGUCCUUCGGGAUGCUGGCGAGUGGCGGACGGGUGAGUAAUGCGUAGGAACCUAUCCUUUUGUGGGGGACAACCCAGGGAAACUUGGGCUAAUACCGCAUAAGCCCUGAGGGGGAAAGCGGGGGAUCUUCGGACCUCGUGCUGAAGGAGGGGCCUACGUCCGAUUAGCUAGUUGGUGGGGUAAAGGCCUACCAAGGCGACGAUCGGUAGCUGGUCUGAGAGGACGACCAGCCACACUGGGACUGAGACACGGCCCAGACUCCUACGGGAGGCAGCAGUGGGGAAUUUUUCGCAAUGGGGGCAACCCUGACGAAGCAAUGCCGCGUGGAUGAAGAAGGCCUUCGGGUUGUAAAGUCCUUUCGUGGAGGACGAAAAGGUGGGUGCUAAUAACGCCUGCUGUUGACGUGAAUCCAAGAAGAAGCACCGGCUAACUCCGUGCCAGCAGCCGCGGUAAUACGGGGGGUGCAAGCGUUAAUCGGAAUCACUGGGCGUAAAGGGUGCGUAGGCGGUGCAUUAGGUCUGUCGUGAAAUCCCCGGGCUCAACCUGGGAAUGGCGGUGGAAACCGGUGUACUAGAGUAUGGGAGAGGGUGGUGGAAUUCCAGGUGUAGCGGUGAAAUGCGUA